AGCCCAUUUCUGGUGUCCCCCGACAUGAUAUUGAUGGAAUAUUGCUAAAAGCGGCGUAAAACCAAAGUCACUCACUCACUAUUUCUGGAACCAGAUGUUGAAUUUUGACCCACAAAACAAGUGCUCAUUAUAAUGCUCCCCUUACCGGUCAGCAUUAAUGCUUGACACUCAUUUAGUAGGUCAUAGCGCUGGACCAUCAUCAUUGUAACAUUUGUUCACAGUGAAGGAUGGGAAUGAAAGUUUGACAAUUGAUCCUUUAAUCAUUUUCAUCAAGCGAUAACAUCGUUGAGGAAUUUGUCACCAAGGUGAAGGUUAGUUAUUGUCCGAGAUGAAUUAAUCUGUAUGUGUAUAUUCGCUAUCAAAACGCACAGGUAAUGAUGACCUCUGACCUCUGACCUCUUCCAUGACUGAUUGAUGGCUGAUACAUGAUGUCUUAGAUUUGUAGCUAUGUCUGUAUGUAUUAAUUCAAGAACGUAUUGAUUACAAAUGCUGUGUCUAUCUCAUUUGGGGAGCAAUCAGUGAUAUUAUGAAAUUAUUCACAUGUCCUAUUAUUCCUUGAGAAAGUCAAUAGUCCAGAUAUGCAGUGUUCUACUGUAAUGACAAACAGCAUAUUUCUCAACAGGUUUUUCUAAAUAUUUGUGGUAUUUUAGAUAUGUAAUUUUUUAAUUUGUGUAAAUUUAUUCAUUUCAUCAAAUCUUAUAAAUUUGUAUUAUAUUAUAUUGUUUCUUCAACUCUUUGCCAACAGUAUGGCAUGUUUAUACACAAACCAGCCAUAUUCUUUCUUGAGAAUUUGGUUUGUUAUAAAGUAGUGAAAUUCAGAGAAAGACUUUUGAUUGUUUGUAACUUCUAUUAUUGUCGCUUGUCACAUUCACUUGGCUGUUAGUGAUGCUGUUUGUUACUCAUCUAUGUCAACAGUGGGUUUUGAUCAUUGUCAGUACCUCAAGGUUUGUAUUCACGGUGUUCCUUCAUCAUGAAGUAAUACAUCAGUCAGUGUAUAACGCAUAGCAGUUGAGGGGAUGUGGGGUAGUCUAGUGGUUAAAGUGUUCGCUCGUCACUCCGAAGAGCCGGGUUCGAUUCCCCACAUGGGUACAAUGUGUGAAGCCCAUUUCUGGUGUCCCCCUCCGUGAUAUUGCUGGAAUAUUGCUAAAAAGCGGCAUAAAACUCAACUCACUCACUCACUCUUAGCAGUUGAGUGCACCUAGUACUAAUUGGCCUUAGUAGUUUCGACCAAUAUUUCCAUCUGUUGUAUUCAUACUGCCACCAAUAUUUCUUUUAAUAACUAAACUAUGACAUUGUCGGUUACCGUGGCAGCGGGUAAUAUUUUUUCCAGUUGUCACCCUCCUGGAGGGGUGACACAGAAACUUGUUAAAAUGUCACUGACCAAUGAAAUUAAAGUAUCUUAUAUGAAGGUAAGAUAAAACAAUGUUUUAAUAGUUCCAAAAUCAUCCCGAUUAGAUAUAAUCUAGUUUAAAAUGAUACGUCAAUUCAUAUCUAGGUUCAACUCGAUAUGUCAUUUUGUAUCCAUGGUAUAUUUUUAUGGUAAACCGAUCAAGAGUGUCCCCAUGACUACCAAACUGUACAGGUACUGUAUAGGAAUGUGUGUACAAACCUAUAUAGACAAUUGAUGAUAUCAAUGAACUAUUUGCUCAACUGUUGCCAAUGAAUACCGGUAAGUUCUUAAAUCAGAGAAAAUGAGUAGAUGGAAGAAAUGUUAUGUUGAUGAUCUCCAGUGAGUAGACUGAAAUUGAUGUAUAAGCUUAUCCUGAUCAAGAAUAUAAAUGAAUUGUCAAUAAACUCUGAUGAAUCAAGUAAAUGCAGCGUUGAUAUGGCAGUGGAACUUUGGCAUUUUUCCAUCAGCAACUCUAAAUUGGAUCUUGUCAAAUCUGUGAGGCAGACAAUAUUUUUUCACUUGAUUCCCAGGCUUGUUGUCUUUCAUGGUGGACUUUUAACCUUGCUUUUACUCUUGAUAUCAACAGAACUACUAGUAACUAGAAAUCUAUAAUUGAAUCUUGUUGAAAAAAUAUUCUAAAAGCUUGAAAUCGUAGUGAAUUAUGACAAAUUGCAAGAAGAAAUAGAAAUGAACAAUUUAAAAAUUGUAUGUAUUUUUCAGUUCGGGAAUAUUUUUUCUGAUGAACCUGAAUUUUAGAGUCGGAAAUUCAUACCCUUUGGUGUCACACUGUCAAAGUUAUUGUUCUAAAAGCAGUUUCAGAAUAUUAUUGUCGUAAAGAUGUUGAUACAAUUGUUGACAGGAGCAAAAAAGAUGAAUGUUUAAGAAAAUGUUUAGAAGACAAAUACUCUGGGACUAGAUAGUCAAUAUUGUUUCCUCUGAAUUCCUACUCUUCCUCCACAAGAUCUUCCUCCCAUCGGAUGUUCUGGAGAUUCUUUCUCUGCUUGCCUUAUAUGAUGGUGCUUACUUGCUGUGAUUUCUCUCCUCUAAGUGUGGGCCAGGACUGGGUAGAUCUCACUAUUCUGUAUUACCUGGAUAGUGAAGGCCUCAUUUUUCUAGUCCCUGGAUAGUGUAGGCCUGUACUCUUUAGUUCCUGGAUAGUGUAGGCCUCAUUUUUCUAGUUCCUGGCUAUGUAGUCCUGUACUCUUUAGUUCCUGGAUAGUGUAGGCCCCAUUUUUCUAGUUCCUGGAUAGUGUAGGCCCCAUUUUUCUAGUUCCUGGAUAGUGUAGGCCCCAUUUUUCUAGUUCCUGGAUAGUGUAGUCCUGUACUCUUUAGUUCCUGGAUAGUGUAUGCCCCAUUUUUCUAGUUCCUGGAUAGUGUAGGCCUCAUUUUUCUAGUUCCUGGAUAGUGUAGGCCUCAUUUUUCUAGUUCCUGGACAGUGUAGGCCUCAAGUCUCUCAUUCCUGGAUAGUUCAGGACCGUACUCUUUUGUUCCUGGAAACUGUAGGCCUCAAUUCCCUAGUUCCUGGAUAGUUAAAGCAUCGAUUCUCUGGUUCUUGGAUAGUGUGGGCCUUCAUUCUCUAGUUCCUGGAUAGUGUAGGCCUCAAGUCUCUAGUUCCUGGAUAGUGUAGGCCUCAAGUCUCUAGUUCCUGGAUAGUGUAGGCCUCAAGUCUCUAGUUCCUGGAUAGUGUAAGCCACAAUUCUCUAGUUCCUGGAUAGUUUAGGCCAGUAUUUUUUAGUUCCUGGAUAGUGUAGGCCUCAUUUCUCUAGUGCCUGGAUAGUGUGAUCUUCAAUUCUCUAGUGCCAAGAUAGUAUAUGCCUCUUGACAUAAUUGCCCGGAUAGUGUAGACCUAAAUUCCCCGGUGCCUGGAUAGGGUUGGCCUCAAUUCGAUUGUGCCUGGAUAGCAUAGGUUUAAUUACUUUCUAGUGCCUAUAUACUGUAGACUUCACUCUUCUCUCAUGUCUGGAUAGUGUGGGCAUCUCUACUCAAGUACCUGGAUAGUGUAGACUGCACUAGUCUCUAGAGCCUGCAUAGUUAAGGCAACUCCUCUUCCUGGAUAGUCAAGGCAACCCUACUCUCUAGUGCCUGGAUAGUCUAGGCAUUUCUAGUCAUAGUUCCCGGAUAGUAUAUACUCUCUAGUGCCUGAAAACCAGACUUCAAAGGGUUCUUGGAUACUAAUCUGGUUUUGCAUCAAAUUUGCUCAUUCUGGCAGUAAUUGUGUUAUAUUGUAGUAUGACUGGUCAAUAUAUGGGUACCAGUAAGUUGUAAUAUUGUGAUAGUGAUUAUGGCAAUUGUUUAGACUUGAUAAUAUUCAACUAUCUAUUAGCCUUGAAUCUCUAUAUUUUUCCUAUUAAAUUUAUAUUUCAGAAUAUAAUGUUAUUGGAUCACUAUGUCUUUUUCUAUGGUGCUAUUUGUAAUACUACAAAUUUAGCUGGAUUCCAUAACUGCUUGAGGCUCUCCUUGCAUCAUUGCAAUAUUAUAGAGAAUAAUAGUGAGAAAAGUUGUAAUACAUUGGAAUGAUUAAUUCAACCAAGGGAAAUUGUUUAUGUAAAGUGUACAAGACUCCUAUUCCUUCUUAAUGCUUACUAGUACAGCAAUAUUUAUAUUUUUGUCAUAUUAUGAAAAAAAGUUGCAAAGGCUUGUUUGAAAAACAAAUUUGUAUUCUUUUUUCUACUUUUUUUUUUUUCCAUUUUUCAAACAGGAUGGAAAGAGGUGUGAACUUUGGUGUCAUUUUGGUCAAUGAAAUACCAGCCAAACUAGACAGAGGAUGGGGAACAUGCACCCUUCCUGACAUGGAUGUGAACAUGUUAGAACAAACUGUGUUAACAAUGCUUGGAUGAUAGGCAACUAAAUCAACUAAAGUACUGUCGGAAAUAGAAAAAAAACUGUUUUUGGAAUAUUGCUGGCUACAGCAUGGAAACAUACAAAAACAAAACAAAUAUAAAAACAAUGAUAGAUCUUUUCCAUUUUAGUCCCGCUCAAUAUAUUUCUUGUUUCAUGGGAUAUUUUCUCAGUAUACAAGGAAGGAGAUAAAAUAAGGGGUUAAGUAUAGACGUUUAAUUUCCGUAAAAGAAUCUGGAAAAUAGUUUUAACCAAUCUACAGACUAAAAUAAUCAUAAUUCAUAUUUUCAAUCUUAUAUAGCAUAUUGUUAUUUUUUUUAAAUUAAGACUCACUAGUACUAGGUAAUAGCUUUGCCAAUUGCCAAACAAGAUCUCAUUUCCAUAUUUCAUGAAAAAUAAUGGCCAUGGAAUCUCUAUUGUAGGAUCUCAAAUAACAGGAAAACCACCUUCUUUAAGUACCUGUCAUAUCUUUGAACUGUGGGCUUAAUCUCACAGUAGAUUGACCGAAUUAUAAACUCUCUUUUUAUUAGGUCAGGUAGUUCAAAUAUUGUGUAUUUAUUGUUUUUAUCGAAUCUGCAUCGUUGUUUUCGGCCUCUUUGUUGUUUCGGUCGACAUGAGGUUGUUUGGUGUAUAAUGUUGUACAUUCCAGCAGAACAAAAUGAUCCAACUGUGGUCACAAUUCUUUCUUUGCUGAGGCUUUUUGGUUUCAUAUUGUGAUACUUUUGUCGAACAAUUUGGUUGUUGUUUGUAAUUUUACAUCUGAAAAUCGAAAGGCGAUUGCCUUCUGAAGAUACUCAUAUGUUGUAUGUGAAUUGGAUUUCUGCUACUUGUUCAUGUGACGAACAAUUUGUUGGUUUCAAUGUGAAAACAAUCUUAGCAUCUGAUGGUCAAGGUUUUACAUAUUGACAGUCCAGCAAAGUUGGACAUUGACUGACCUGGUGAAGUUUAUGCGGAUUUGGAACUGAGACUCUAGGGUUUUAUGCAAUGCAGAUAAGUGCAUCUGCUAGGGGUGAAACGGUACGUUCUUACCACGGUAGCGGUGUGUAUUGCGGUACAAAGCCUUCGGUUUGGUCCAUUUCUGUUCGAUAUAUAAGAUAUGCAGAAAAUUGAGCCAAAGAGCCAAACAGUACAUUGUUUCAUGACAUGAGGGCAAAAUAACCAUAAUAUUUGUUAUUUUGAAUGAACAAAACUGUCACUUUAUGACUGCAUAGAAAUGACAGUACAAAAUACUGAAUUUUUGGAUUGUAUUUGGUAUACUGAUCCGAAGGCAAAAUACCACGGUUCUACUAAUUCCGCGGUUCUACUAAUUCCGCAGUAUACCGUUUCACCCCUAGCAUCUGGUAUACACAAAUGUAUAGAAUGGUCGCAGAAAAAUACUUAUUGCAUCCCAAGGGAUGUAUAAUACCAUUCACUGUACAUCACUGUACCAAAUUUUCCACAAGAAUUAUAGAGUUGAUAUUAUCGACAUUAUCAUUACAUCUUAAAGUACAGUAUGCUACUUCAUCACUCUAGAGGACCUUAAAGUACAGUAUGCUACUUCAUCACUCUAGAGGACCUUAAAGUACAGUAUGCUACUUCAUCACUCUAGAGGACCUUAUAGUACAGUAUGCUACUUCAUCACUCUAUAGGACCUUAAAGUACAGUAUGCUACUUCAUCACUCUAUUGGACCUUAAAGUACAGUAUGCUACUUCAUCACUCUAUAGGACCUUAAAGUACAGUAUGCUACUUCACUCUAGAGGACCUUAAAGUACAGUAUGCUACUUCAUCACUCUAUAGGACCUUAAAGUACAGUAUGCUACUUCAUCACUCUAUAGGACCUUAAAGUACAGUAUGCUACUUCAUCACUCUAUAGGACCUUAAAGUACAGUAUGCUACCGUCACUCUCUAGGACCUUAAAGUACAGUAUGCUACUUCAUCACUCUAUAGGACCUUAAAGUACAGUAUGCUACUUCAUCACUCUAUAGGACCUUAAAGUACAGUAUGCUACCAUCACUCUAUAGGACCUUAAAGUACAGUAUGCUACUUCAUCACUCUAGAGGACCUUAAAGUACAGUAUGCUACUUCAUCACUCUAGAGGACCUUAAAGUACAGUAUGCUACCAUCACUCUAUAGGACCUUAAAGUACAGUAUGCUACUUCAUCACUCUAUAGGACCUUUAAGUACAGUAUGCUACUUCAUCACUCUAUAGGACUUUCAUGUUUCCUGCAAGGACCUAUGAAUUACUUGGAAUCCUCUAUACCACGAAUAUUGUUGGUCAAGGUAAAACCCAGAACAAUCUUUCCUGUACCUUGAACCAAGCUAAGGGAGUCACUGAACGGCGUUUAGAAGAAAUGCACAUAAAGGCAAGAAUUUAUGAAUGUCAACUUCUUCAUUUCACCACGACCGCCGUGAUAUUGCUGGAAUAUUGCUAAAAGCUGCGUAAAACUCACUCACUCACUCACUUAUUUCACCAUGAUGGACAAUCACAAAUAAAGAAAUUGACAUCCAUAAAAUCUUUGCCUUAAAGCUAGGGGAGUUACUGUUACUGUCCAGAUCAACAUGUUACCAUGGUAACAAUUCCUGGAUACUGUGCUCUUUGAGUCUAUGUCCAUGCUUAUGUAUUGAAUCUUAGAUCGGUGGGAGAAUGUGGAGAGUCCAAAUAUAGAAGUCACUGUUUACAAAUCAAAUUGUUGAAUAUAUUUCUCUUGCUAUGUUUGUUACAAUGUUCAGAUUUUGAUUCAGUCAAUGCUUCUUUGUUAUGCAUGUUGCAUAUUGAAGGUUGUGAUUCCACUUGUUUAAUAUUGUCAUCGUUAUUCAAAUAUUUAUGUCUAAGCUGCCAGGCAUAAAUGUUCUGUCCCAGAAAUAAAACCUCUCUGAAAAACUG
rnacentral:lncRNA from 1 species